rnacentral:rRNA from 1 species
AUGGCUCAGGACGAACGCUGGCGGCGUGCCUAACACAUGCAAGUCGAGCGAGGAGAUCCUCGGGAUGAUCCUAGCGGCGGACGGGUGAGUAACACGUGGGCAACCUGCCUCAUAGAGAGGAAUAGCCUUCCGAAAGGGAGAUUAAUACCUCAUAACAUUGCAGUUUCGCAUGGAACAGCAAUUAAAGGAGUAAUCCGCUAUGAGAUGGGCCCGCGGCGCAUUAGCUAGUUGGUGAGGUAACGGCUCACCAAGGCGACGAUGCGUAGCCGACCUGAGAGGGUGAUCGGCCACAUUGGGACUGAGACACGGCCCAGACUCCUACGGGAGGCAGCAGUGGGGAAUAUUGCACAAUGGGGGAAACCCUGAUGCAGCAACGCCGCGUGAGUGAUGACGGCCUUCGGGUUGUAAAGCUCUGUCUUCAGGGACGAUAAUGACGGUACCUGAGGAGGAAGCCACGGCUAACUACGUGCCAGCAGCUGC